rnacentral:snoRNA from 8 species
GCUAUGAUGACUUUGAUUGCAUUGAUCACAUGAAAUGAUAAUGUGCUUUGUCCUCUAAGAAGUUCUGAGCUU